UCCUGAAGAUUUUUAUAUCUCCUUGAGCAAGAGAUAUAGAAUAGGACUACACGUCAAUUUACUAGCACAUUAUUUAGGUUUAUUUUAAGUCAUGAAAUUCAACUUUGACAGAAAUGGAUAGGUGGUGAAAGAAAAUCUUUAGGAUUUUCAAAAGUAAGUUGGCUAUUUUAG
rnacentral:sRNA from 12 species